UUUUUCCCUGUCAUUCACACUAGGCUUUAAAGGAUUUGCCUUUACUGUAGUGUACUGAAUAAGUCCUGGAUUCAGAAUCUGUAUAGGAUCAUAUGACCCUGGAAAAAGUGCUCCAUCUUGGCUGAGGGACCGCAGCAAGACGCCUUCAUUUUAUCCCCUUGGCAUACCGUGCCUGAUGAAAAUCACAGCUUUUAUUCCUAUAGCAGUUGCCUUCAUUAAUGCUCAGGACUUCAAACAACAAUCUGCCCAAUGGAAAGAGAACACUCGGUAACUGGACUAUAAGUACAGUAGAACUUCCAAGUAGCAACUUAAGAAUACAUGGGUGAAAAAAAUGUCCUAAAUCACUAUGAUUAGAGAAAUUUAAAUUAAAGCAACUCUGAGGUACUACCUCAAAUCUAUCAG